UACAGAGGUCCCAAGCGUUGUUCGGAUUCACUGGGCGUAAAGGGUGCGUAGGCGGUCGGGUAAGUCUGAUGUGAAAUCUCCAAGCUUAACUUGGAAAUGGCAUCGGAUACUAUUCGGCUCGAGGAAUGGAGGGGAGACUGGAAUACUUGGUGUAGCAGUGAAAUGCGUAGAUAUCAAGAGGAACACCAGAGGCGAAGGCGGAUUGCUGGGCUGAUACUGACGCUGAGGCGCGAAAGCUAGGGGUAGCAAACGGGG
rnacentral:rRNA from 1 species